AGUGAACGCUGGCGGUAGGCCUAACACAUGCAAGUCGAACGGCAGCACAGUAAGAGCUUGCUCUUGCGGGUGGCGAGUGGCGGACGAGUGAGGAAUACAUCGGAAUCUACUUUUUCGUGGGGGAUAACGUAGGGAAACUUACGCUAAUACCGCAUACGACCUACGGGUGAAAGCAGGGGAUCUUCGGACCUUGCGCGAUUGAAUGAGCCGAUGUCGGAUUAGCUAGUUGGCGGGGUAAAGGCCCACCAAGGCGACGAUCCGUAGCUGGUCUGAGAGGAUGAUCAGCCACACUGGAACUGAGACACGGUCCAGACUCCUACGGGAGGCAGCAGUGGGGAAUAUUGGACAAUGGGCGCAAGCCUGAUCCAGCCAUACCGCGUGGGUGAAGAAGGCCUUCGGGUUGUAAAGCCCUUUUGUUGGGAAAGAAAAGCAGCAGGUUAAUACCCCGCUGUUCUGACGGUACCCAAAGAAUAAGCACCGGCUAACUUCGUG
rnacentral:rRNA from 1 species